GGAGCGCUAGCUCAACUGGCAGAGCAAUUGACUCUUAAUCAAUAGGUUCCGGGUUCGAGUCCCGGGCGCUUCACCA
rnacentral:tRNA from 2 species